GUGACAAGAAAUAACAAUACAGGACUUUUUGGUUUUGUAAUUGGAAUGAGUUAAGUAUAAACCCCUUUACAAGUAUCAAUUGGAGGGCAAGUCUGGUGCCAGCAGCCGCGGUAAUUCCAGCUCCAAUAGCGUAUAUUAAAGUUGUUGCAGUUAAAAAGCUCGUAGUUGGAUUUCUGUUAAUAAUUUAUAUAAAAUAUUUUGAAUAUUUAUAUAACAUUAACAUAAUUCAUAUUACUAUAUUUUUUAGUAUAUGAAAUUUUACUUUGAGAAAAUUAGAGUGCUUAAAGCAGGCAUAUGCCUUGAAUACUCCAGCAUGGAAUAAUAUUAAAGAUUUUUAUCUUUCUUAUUGGUUCUAAGAUAAGAAUAAUGAUUAAUAGGGACAGUUGGGGGCAUUUGUAUUUAACAGUCAGAGGUGAAAUUCUUAGAUUUGUUAAAGACAAACUAAUGCGAAAGCAUUU
rnacentral:rRNA from 1 species